GAUAUCAUGGUAUUUCACAACGGCAUGUGGUGAGAACCAUCAGAUAACCAACAGGGUUGACAAACAACAUGUUCACUUGCUUCCUCUUCUUAUUUUUUGUCAUACACGGGUUGCCGUCUGCUCCUAUACUGAUCAGACCUGAUGAGAGUGCAGCACAGAUGGAGUUGAUUUUUGAACCUGCUGUUUUUGCACAGUACGAUGACUUUAAGGAAGGCUGUUGCCAAGAGACAGAGACUCCACAGUUUUCACUGGAAGCUGGGAAACUUUAUAGGCCAAAUUUGGAAGACGAAUACUACUAACACGCAUCAUGCAAACUUACAGAGAAGGGCGGAAAAACACUGACUUCUUCAUUAGAUUAUCUCAUGUCCCAUUACAAGUGAGCAAUCUGUCUGACACACAGUAUAUAGUCCAACUGCACUCCCUUUAAUGGAUGAUGGCAGAUGAUACAGAGCACAUUUUUCUAUUUUACCUUGCUGUCUCUGCAGUGAAUGCAGCGUUACAAAUUCUAUUAAUUUACAGAGCCAAAAGAACUCCAUGGAAUUUUUUAUCAAAACAACGACAGGGCCCAUGAACCAUUUGACCUGGGCAGGCCAACAUGCAGUCCAGAUCUGUCAUCUUUUCGCAUGAACCUUAAACAUGCUCUCCUAUGAUAUAAUUUUAAAUUGGAAAUUAAGUUUAUCCACAAUUUUUAAAUUAAUUUUACAAUCAGGUGUACUUUUUAUAGGCCGAAUGAUUAUAUUUACCACCCCCACUGUUCUCUCUCAGUCAGGUAAAAGCUAGCUUGUCAUUGAUUUAUUGUGUCACUUCCCAUCUUGUAUCUGAUCAAUGUUUUUCAGAUUAAUGUUCAACUAAUCUUGAACAGGAACCCAAAGCUCACAACAAUAUCUAUCAUUCACUUCCUCAGAAGGCUGUUGAUUUCACAUUUUAUAAAACAAUAUUUAACCAACUGUCCCUUGGAACUUGGGUUGAUUUCUGAAUCUCUGGUUAUUUUAAAAAGUACAUUUUCAAUUGGUAAGUACAGUACCCCACACCUCAUAUUUAAUCCUAUGAAACCAUUUAUAUCAUAUUUGCUACAUAUGAUUUAGAAAGAAAAUGUUCUGUUUUCAAAACAUUAUUUGUAAAAUGAAAAUAUGUAGAUAGUAUAAAUAUGUAGCACUUUUUCUAAAUUGUUGUGUUAUGUUUAAUAAACAUCUCAGUUCCAAAAUGAAACAUUUUGAAUUUUCUGUUUUUGUUAUUUUGUAUCAGGCUUUGCAGAGUAAAGUGCUCUGAACUCAUCCUGUAGAAUUAUAAUGUCAAUGUGAAUAAUCCGCUGCCUAACCUUCAUCUUGUGUUUAGGAUUAUAAUGAGGAGUCACUGUGUGGUUAAAUAAAUAAACCCAACUAGUUAAAAAAAAGGAAAUUAGUCUUUUAUCAUAAUUUCCGGCCAGUUCAACCAAAGAGAGGUUCUAAAAUAGGUGUUCUUUCAGUUCUAUUCGAUUUUAGGAGAACCACUCCCUGAGUGAGACUGAGUACAGCUGCAGGAGGGGCUGACUGACAGAUUCAAAUCUUUCAUUUCUUUAACUGGCUCCUCUCUAUCUUUGAGAGUGUGUUUUAUGAUGUGUAAAAUAAGUGUUAAAAACAUGGUACUGCACGCUGUUGUCUGUGAGUUUGCAUUGUGUUCUUUUCCCCCAAUUUUUGAUUCAAUCAUUUCCCCUAAUACACAGGUUUGGUGUCCACAGUGACACGAUGAGCAUCCUCUUCAAAGCACAUUAGCGUUGCUAACCAAGCGACCAGUCUAGACAAGAUCAGCAACAUCAGGCAGGUUGACCUCAGAAGGUGAACCUCUCAGACCUGUGUGACCAUUCGUUGAGUGUCUGCUGAACUCUUGGAGAGCCCUCACUAAUGACAUUGGCAGCUAGACACGUAGAACUGUCUCGGAAUUGUCCGAUGAGUUGUCAUGAUUGACAGAUGGAUGGUCAUUUCUGCUGUUGGCAAUUGUUGCAAAUCUUGGCGACACUAAAUACCAGAAACAUGCUUUGACUUUUGCUCUAUAACCACACCUGUCCCUCUUUAUUAUUGUCAUUUUCUUUAUAGUCCUUUCUUUUAUUUUACAUCAUUGAAGUUGUUCACCCAACCUUAGUCAAACUUCUCACACAGAACGUGGACAAAAAAUGCAGAAAAACAUGUCACAGCAUACAUUUCUUCAACUCAGACAGGGGUGUAGUUAAAAGUAAAACAAACAAACAAAACUAACAGGAUACACUUUUGAUCUUUUUUUCAUAUCUUUUAGCUUCACACAGGGAAAUUCCAUGAACCAAUAUUGAUCUUAUUUAUCUUGAAAAUGAACAUUUCUACUGUUCAGUUCAUCAUUUAAUCAUGAAAUAUUUGUAUCUGUUCCUAAAAUUAGAUUUUUUUUAUGUACAACCCAAAACAAAACAGGUCAGUGUGUGACCUGUUUUUUUUUACAUGUUUGUGUGUGUAUGUGUGUGUGCACAGUCACUCUAUGACAGCAAAUAAAGACAGAACACUGUUUGGUAAUCUUAGUUUUGUUUUUUUAAAUAAAGGGUAAUUCACACAAAAAAUGAAAAAAAGGAGAUAUUUCACAGACUAGUUGUUAAAACAAAACAAUUUAUUAUUUUAAUUACAGAUAUUAAAUUAUUUAUAUAUAUAUAUAUAUAUUUAUAUAUGGCAUAUCUUUACACCCCCUUUUCUCCAACACCUAUUAAAAUACAAUUUCUCCCACUGUUUGACCUCAGGAGAUGUGAAUUUUAUUAAAGUGACCACAUGUCUUCAUGUUGAUGGGUGUGUGCUGAGGGGUUACAGUAAACUACUGCUGUUAUUAUAUCAUCUGAAAAGGACAUACAGAGAUGGUAGAAUUAUCUCUUCUAAUCAGUAAAGAUGUGAAAUGUACAUUAAUGCAGUCUUAAUGGCCAUGAGUCUGGUCAUUUUAAUAAUACUUAGGUAAAAAAUGCUUCAUUUACAAAUGGACAGGAAUUGAAAGAUUUAUUCACCUGAAAACACUUCAUGACUUUAAAGGAGAACUGCGGUCAAUUUGAACAAUUUAACAGCAUCUCUGCUGUUGGAGGUCUGCGGGCACAGUCUCGGUGAAUAAAUAUGAACUGAAUUUUUUAAACAAAACAUUGUACAAUUGGGUCUGUAAAAUAAACAUUUUUUUGGUCUCGAAAUAUUCUCAGAAUAUGAUUACAAAUGCAAAGUAACACAAAAAUAUUCCAAAGAAGACCCAAAUGUUUUUCAUCAAUUUGAACAAUAAAAAAGAAAAAUACCUUGGUUUUUUAACUAUGAAAUCUGUUCUCUUUAAUGGAAGAGUUAACUAUAAUCCCAUUGAUUUUAAAAAGAAAAGACCAGGAUAAUCAUUCACCAGUGAUAAUGGCAUUAAGUCAUACUUUUUCACCCACAUCAAACAACAGAGCUCUGUAUGGAAAUACCCGGAGAUGGGAGGUUUACAAUUGGCCGCAGCCGAUCCCAGUUGGCUUUGGGUAAGAUACUGUAUAUUUACCCUGGGCACGUCACCCCCUAGUGACCGUGGUAACUAAGGUAGGCAGUAAUGCACCAAUCAUGUUUAUUCUGUUCAGCUUUCCAUGACAAAGUAAUGGUUUGAUUAGCUGUAACCUCUGUUUGAAUAUAACUUUAUCAACAGUUUUAUAGUUGGGAGGUGAGUCUGUGCUGAUCACCAAAAGGGUAGUUUAUGGCUUGUAAUAUUUAACCUCAUCCUGUCACAGUUACAGUUACAAGGCAGGAG